rnacentral:ribozyme from 1 species
UGCCCAGCAACUCCUACCCCUACCUCCUCGUGGUACCGGCUGAAAACUACGAGCAACCUUAGGGAAGA